AGUGGCAAAGAGCAACCAAAGAACUACAUAUUUAUCAGUGAUGAAAUUGGACACACUCGAUUUUCCUCCCACUGGUAAUAUUUGCAGUCAGCAUGAAUAGACUUUCUCAGUACAGUUUUCAACUCCUGGCACAACAGUAUCCUUUUUCCAAACUAUAGCAUAAAUCACAGAAAAGUAUCUCCUCAUUUGUUUGGGAUGAGUUUUAAUUCAGAAACAAUUUAUAGUAAUAUUCUAAGAGACUGACUGAAUUUGCUUUCCCAACUGAAAAAGGAAUCAACUAUUUGUUAUUAUUUAAUGAAGCUUUGAAGCAUGAGGAAGUCAAUUAUUCUUCAGUGCAGUGAUGUACAAAGGGGACUCCUGCAUUUUCCCUGUUCCCUGAAGAGAUUAAGAACUUCUGAGUGGAGACAAACGGGAAAAAAUAUUGUUUGUGGAACCUUGCCUAGGCUUGAUGAGAAGGAGGAAAGAGCUCUUACAGCUAAAACUAAUCAGUAACUGUGGUUUCUCCAAACAUGGAAGAAUUUUCCAUCAACAGUCACAAUGGGGAGUGUCUAGUUGGACCAUCAUGGAAGAUGGAUGGAUCUGGGGAGUUUGGAUGGUGUAGCUGCAAUGACAGAAGAGGACACUGUCCAUUGUGGCUUUGAACAGACAUGAUCCAUUCCCGGUGGUAGAGCCUUAUCAUUCAGUCUGGGGAGUGGACUGGAAUCCAGCUGGCAUUCAUCGUCCCCCUGUCCUGCCUUGGCAGGGGUUGCAGUACACUAGUGAUGACACAGCAGCCACAUUGAGGGGAGUAGUUCUAAUUCUACUCUCAGGGACACCCAUCUGUGGUGUAUCAUUGGUGUCUGGUGGCUUUUGGAAAUUCCAAUAUAUAGCACAGUCAUUUCUGUUUCUAAGAGGAGAGGACUUUUCAACUUAGCAAGAGUAUAAUGAAAAAGUGGGAGUUAGCAACUAUUAAAGUUUUGGUAGCUUCUAUUGGGCACCUAGAAACAAAGCCUAAAUAUGAGAAAAGAUCAAUAAGCCCUGUGGUAGAAUCACAUGAAAACCUUACUUUGGGAUAUUUUUGUGCAUUUUAAUGAUUUCUGACUUUUAAAUUUACUUUUCCAAAGCUGCCAUUCUUUCUCAGGCUCCAAACUAACACUGAGAAGCAAGAUUUAGGGGCACUGACCAUGCAUCUGAUAAGUCAUUACUUCAGGAAAUAUGUACUAAGCCCUUUUAUGUGACAGGCACUGGAGUAAGGAAAAUGGGCAAACAGCACUUGCUUCAAGGAGAGAAGAGCAACAUGUCAGAAAGCCAAACUGAAUUAAGGAGAGAAAAUUAAAUUUCUCAUUUAACAGCUGCAACAAUAACAUACAAAUAAAUUUACUGAUCAAUAA
ensembl:lncRNA LINC01069 long intergenic non-protein coding RNA 1069